GCGUAACGCGUGGGAAUCUGCCCUCUGGUACGGAAUAACUCAGGGAAACUUGAGCUAAUACCGUAUAAUGACUUCGGUCCAAAGAUUUAUCGCCUGAGGAUGAGCCCGCGUAGGAUUAGCUUGUUGGUGAGGUAAAAGCUCACCAAGGCGACGAUCCUUAGCUGGUCUGAGAGGAUGAUCAGCCACACUGGGACUGAGACACGGCCCAGACUCCUACGGGAGGCAGCAGUGGGGAAUAUUGGACAAUGGGCGAAAGCCUGAUCCAGCAAUGCCGCGUGAGUGAUGAAGGCCUUAGGGUUGUAAA
rnacentral:rRNA from 1 species